rnacentral:lncRNA from 1 species
AUGUAUUUUGGUGGCCAGUCAAGCAUAAGGAAGUCAAAAGCACGUUUGCUGGUUGCUUUAUGUCUGCUGCACAGUUUCCCACAUAGACCUGUGCUAAAGAUGCUGUCACGAAAUCUUGUAAUUGCCUCAGUAGCUGUUGUGCUUCUGGCGUCCACCCUAUCUACGGCUCCUGUUGAAGAUAAGGAGCCUGAAGAAAAUGACUUUGAGGCUGAAGAGGGUGAAGAAGAACUGUCUGAGGAGGAAGAGGAUGAUGAUGACUCCAAAGGUCAGCAUAUGAAGGGAGCCGGAUCGCAGCAGGCCACUGCAGCACCCAAAGGCUUGGGUAUGACUCCUGGCAGCGCCGUUGCGGGCGAAUCCCCAAACGGUAAGGAAAGUCUACUCGAUAACGCAAAAACAAGUUCUGUACGGAGUGCAUUAGCCUCCCAUGGCCUCCGGUGA